GACGAACGCUGGCGGCGGGCUUAACACAUGCAAGUCGAACGGAAAGGCCCUGCUUGUGUGGGGUGCUCGAGUGGCGAACGGGUGAGUAACCCGUGAGUAACCUGGCCUUUACUUUGUGAUAACUUCAGGCAACUGGUGCUAAUACCUGCUAGGAGCUCCUGCUGCAUGGUGGGGGUUGGAAAGCUUGGGCGGUGGGGGAUGGAUGUGCGGCUUAUCAGCUUGUUGGUGGGGGAGUUGCUUACCAAGGGUUUGACGGGUAGCCGGCAUGGGAGCGUGGCCGGCGACCUUGGGACUGAGAUACGGCCCAGAGUGCUACGGGAGGCAGAAGUGGGGAGUAUUGCACAAUGGGCGGACGCGUGAUGCAGAAACGCCGCGUGCGGGAUGACGGCCUUCGGGUUGUAAACCGCUUUAGCCUGUGACGAAGCGUGAGUGACGGUAAUGAGUAAAGAAGCACCGGCUAACUACGUG
rnacentral:rRNA from 1 species